rnacentral:rRNA from 1 species
UACGUAGGGGGCAAGCGUUGUCCGGAAUCAUUGGGCGUAAAGCGCGUGUAGGCGGUUCGAUAAGUCUGCUGUGAAAGUCCAGGGCUCAACCCUGGGAUGCCGGUGGAUACUGUCGGACUAGAGUACGGAAGAGGCGAGUGGAAUUCCCGGUGUAGCGGUGAAAUGCGCAGAUAUCGGGAGGAACACCAAUUGCGAAGGCAGCUCGCUGGGACGUUACUGACGCUGAGACGCGAAAGCGUGGGGAGCAAACAGG